rnacentral:rRNA from 1 species
AUACGUAGGGUGCAAGCGUUAAUCGGAAUUACUGGGCGUAAAGCGUGCGCAGGCGGUUUUGUAAGACAGAGGUGAAAUCCCCGGGCUCAACCUGGGAACUGCCUUUGUGACUGCAAGGCUAGAGUACGGCAGAGGGGGAUGGAAUUCCGCGUGUAGCAGUGAAAAGCGUAGAUAUGCGGAGGAACACCGAUGGCGAAGGCAAUCCCCUGGGCCUGUACUGACGCUCAUGCACGAAAGCGUGGGGAGCAAACAGGAUUAGAUACCCUGGUAGUCCACGCCCUAAACGAUGUCAACUGGUUGUUGGGUCUUCAUUGACUCAGUAACGAAGCUAACGCGUGAAGUUGACCGCCUGGGGAGUUCGGCCGCAAGGUUGAAACUCAAAUGAAUUGGCGGGG